rnacentral:lncRNA from 1 species
AUUGACAUGUGUUCUUAAGAUGAGGUUCUUAGCUUUGGCUGAUAACUAUUUCUUAGCUUUUAACUAAAAAAAACUAAGAACCGUCUUUUAAAUAAGAGAUAUAAGAGCCGAUUCUUAGCCAAAAAGUGUAAAAAAAAAACAAAAACAAAAAAGUGUCAAAUCAUGAGUUAAGAAGCCUAAGUUAAGAAUCUGGAUUAAUCAUGCUCUAAUAUCUCUUAUUUAAGAGACGGUUCUUAGCUUUUCUUAGUUAAAAUCUAAAAAAAGUUAAGAAUCGUCUUUUAGCCAAAGCUAAGAACUUCAGUUAAGAGACUGAAGUUAAUCAUGGUCUUAUAUUUUUUAUUUAAGAGACGGUUCUUAACUUUUCUUAGUUAAAAUCUAAAGAAAACUAAAAAUCGUCUAUUACCCGAAGCUAAGAACCUCAAUUAAGAGACUGAGGUUAAUCAUGGUUUUAUUCGCUCAUCAUUCGGCUUCAAUACGAGAAGCACUUCGCAUAUGAGUAUUUGACCAAUUGAGCACCUAUAACACACAGAAAGAUAUUGCAUAGACAUGCACAACCUGUCGUUUGCCUAUAUAUGCACUCUAU